GAUGAACGCUGGCGGCGUGCCUAAUACAUGCAAGUCGAGCGAACGGACGAGAAGCUUGCUUUUCUGAUGUUAGCGGCGGACGGGUGAGUAACACGUGGAUAACCUACCUAUAAGACUGGGAUAACUUCGGGAAACCGGAGCUAAUACCGGAUAAUAUUUUGAACCGCAUGGUUCAAAAGUGAAAGACGGUCUUGCUGUCACUUAUAGAUGGAUCCGCGCUGCAUUAGCUAGUUGGUAAGGUAACGGCUUACCAAGGCAACGAUGCAUAGCCGACCUGAGAGGGGGAUCGCCGGCAUGGGAGCGUGGCCGCGGUCCAGACGCCUGCGGUAGGCAGCAGUAGGGAAUGUUCCGCAGUGGGGGAAAGCAUUACGGAGCAAGGCGGCGUGAGAGAUAACGAUCUUGCGAGCGGAAAGCUCUGUUAUUAGGGAAAAACAUAUGUGUAAUGAACUGAGGAGAGCGUGACGGUACUUAAUCAGAAAGCACCGGCUAACUACGUG
rnacentral:rRNA from 1 species